rnacentral:misc_RNA from 1 species
UUUCCGUAGGUGAACCUGCGGAAGGAUCAUUACCGAGAUAGGGUCCCCCGGGGCCCGACCUCCAACCCACUGUUUACACACACCGUUGCCUCGGCGGGCCGCCGGCGUACCCCAAGGGGCGCGCCGCCUUUGGCCUCGCGGCCUCUGAGCGCCCGCCGGUGGAACCUUACAAACUCUCUUGAAACAAGUCUUCUGAGUGAGAAUUUAAUACUUCAAAACUUUCAACAACGGAUCUCUUGGUUUUGGCAUCGAUGAAGAACGCAGC